GACGAACGCUGGCGGCGUGCUUAACACAUGCAAGUCGAACGGAAAGGCCCUGCUUGCCGGGUACUCGAGUGGCGAACGGGUGAGUAACACGUGGGUGAUCUGCCCUGCACUUCGGGAUAAGCCUGGGAAACUGGGUCUAAUACCGGAUAUGACCUUCCAUGUAGUGUGGGGGGUGGAAAGAUUUAUCGGUGUGGGAUGAGCCCGCGGCCUAUCAGCUUGUUGGUGGGGUAAUGGCCUACCAAGGCGUCGACGGGUAGCCGGCCUGAGAGGGUGGACGGCCACAUUGGGACUGAGAUACGGCCCAGACUCCUACGGGAGGCAGCAGUGGGGAAUAUUGCACAAUGGGCGGAAGCCUUAUGCAGCGACGCCGCGUGGGGGAUGACGGCCUUCGGGUUGUAAACCUCUUUCGACAGGGACGAAGCUUCGGUGACGGUACCUGUAUAAGAAGCACCGGCUAACUACGUG
rnacentral:rRNA from 1 species